UACGUAGGGAGCAAGCGUUGUCCGGAAUCAUUGGGCGUAAAGCGCGCGUAGGUGGCUUCGUAAGUCCGCUGUGAAAGUCAAAGGCUCAACCUUUGAAUGCCGAUGGAUACUGCGAAGCUAGAGUACGGAAGAGGAGAGUGGAAUUCCUGGUGUAGCGGUGGAAUGCGCAGAUAUCAGGAGGAACACCAAUAGCGAAGGCAGCUCGCUGGGACGUUACUGACACUAAGGCGCGAAAGCGUGGGGAGCGAACAGG
rnacentral:rRNA from 1 species